CUAAACGUACAGCCCAUUUUUUCACAAAUUGCGCUCAACUUUUCCUUCAAAAUUUUUCGCCAAAAAACUUUCCGCUUAAAACUUUCACUUCUUUCUACUGCCUUCCGUCUUCUAAACUUAGGGUUUAGAUCAGUUUUCUUUCAUUCUCCAUAGAUACCAAAAGCUUGAACUCGAAACGCGAUAUUCUAGAGCGGAUGUGAUUAAUUCGCGCAAAUGUUAAUCGGGUUUUCAUUCUGGAUUCUUAACCCGAUUUCACGGAACUCAAUUGCAGCUGUUUCAUCACAAGUUCAAGGUAUUCAGAAAACACGAAUUACCACCCUCUGUUGAUUUCACGAAGCAGUGCAAACAAAUUCUUCGUAGUUCCAGGACCUGAUGAAAGAAAAACUAGCUGAACUUCCUGGUGGAUUGGAACAGUCUAAAGGACGAAUUGUCAAAUCUUAUAGGAUGAUGACACUUCAACAUGAGGGUCAUGAAAUGCAAAGCUUAGGUAGCAACGCACAAGGACGGCUAAAGCUACACCAAACAAAACUGCUACUGCUAUAGCUAGAGAAUUAAACCAGCAAAAGAUAACUCUUUAUUUGGCAAACAGUGAAGUUGGACUUAUUUGGGGAAGCACAUGACGUUAUUGAGUUAUAUUAUAUUAGUUGUUUUGUUACUGCAUUGUAGUAGUUAAUUAGUUAUUUUUCUUGUCACUGCAGAUUAUUAGAUAACAUUUCGUUAAGUUUUUAAGAGUAUUAGAAAAUUAUAUAUCACCUAUGUAAUGACUUAUGACUUACUCUGUAUGAGUUAUUUAUUUAUAAUAUUAUUUUUAUCUUAUAAUUA